GGGUGAUCCUGCACAACUGGAGUGGCUGCACUUUCAGGACCGUACGUUUAGGACCGCAUCUUUAGGACCCUAGUUUUUUGUGACAUCGCCACCUGCCGGAUUAGAUCAUAGACGCUCUAAUAAGAUGGACGACAUGGAUGGCAAGAAUAAUAAAUCUUGCACAACAAAUUGAUCCUGGAAACUGGACUGAGAAGACUGGGCAUGAUGUUGCUGUGACUAAACAAAUGGCUAUUUCAAACAAAUAUAACUACAAGAGAUAGACAGUGGCUUUAUCUGUAUCUUUUUUUGUUACUUUUAGGGCUUGCCACGCCAGAGCUGUGGUAAUGAAUGUGGGGUUUUUAUGCUUAUGUAUACCCUUUGCUCUGUGACUGGUGUGGCAAUUGAAUUCCAGGAGAAAAUGGACACAUCAUGAAUUAUAAGACUUCAAAAUAGAAGGCGGUUUGCCUUCUGGACCGAUGAGGCCAGAAACUUGCUCCAAGGAAAACUUCAGCCAGUGUACAAAAAAGUGUGCUAUCUCUGAGGAAAUCCCACUUCACAUUCAGGCUGUUCCACAACAGAGGAAAAAAGAAUUGUCGACUUUAUUGUAAAGUUAAAGGGGUCUGAGGAGCAUUUGAUGGGUGUACUCAACGGGAAGCCCUCUAAGUGGUUGCGUAAGCAAGCAUCUUUCCAGGUGCCUGUCUACAUAGACAGUGAGGAAGAGCAAGAUAUCCCUUUGCUUAUCUUAAAGACGUACUGCACAGGACACCAACAAAACUGAGGUUUACAGAUGAAGUGCAGCUUAUCUGUGAUGUUCUUUUUCCAGAGGCCAUCCUACAUGCUCUGGGGGUCUUGAGGGGUUUGUCUUUAGAUGAUGCUGAGCAGGUCUACCUUUCUGGCACAAAAUAUCAUUACAGUGAAGUAGAAUAAUUUAGUCGAAAAAUUGACAAAAAAUCUAGGAAAGAAGGGAGACCAUUCAAUAGGAGCUAAAGGAAUGCUGCUUUUUGUGCUGUUGUGGCUGUUGUGUGUGGAUGUUUAAAUAAAUGUACAUUCUUGAAUAAA